UGGGGAAUAUUGCACAAUGGGCGCAAGCCUGAUGCAGCCAUGCCGCGUGUAUGAAGAAGGCCUUCGGGUUGUAAAGUACUUUCAGCGGGGAGGAAGGGAGUAAAGUUAAUACCUUUGCUCAUUGACGUUACCCGCAGAAGAAGCACCGGCUAACUCCGUGCCAGCAGCCGCGGUAAUACGGAGGGUGCAAGCGUUAAUCGGAAUUACUGGGCGUAAAGCGCACGCAGGCGGUUUGUUAAGUCAGAUGUGAAAUCCCCGGGCUCAACCUGGGAACUGCAUCUGAUACUGGCAAGCUUGAGUCUCGUAGAGGUGGGUAGAAUUCCAGGUGUAGCGGUGAAAUGCGUAGAGAUCUGGAGGAAUACCGGUGGCGAAGGCGGCCCCCUGGACGAAGACUGACGCUCAGGUGCGAAAGCGUGGGGAGCAAACAGG
rnacentral:rRNA from 2 species